rnacentral:rRNA from 1 species
CUGAAACUCGCCUACAUGAAGCUGGAGUUGCUAGUAAUCGCGAAUCAGCAUGUCGCGGUGAAUACGUUCCCGGGCCUUGUACACACCGCCCGUCACACCAUGAGAGUUGGCAAUACCCAACGUACGUGAUCUAACCCGCAAGGGAGGAAGCGUCCUAAGGUAGGGUCAGCGAUUGGGGUGAAGUCGUAACAAGGUACC